rfam:Asian citrus Psyllid, Diaphorina citri - Florida Strain, whole genome shotgun sequence.
GCCUAGCUAGCUUAGUUGGUAGUGCGUCUGCCUUGUAAGCGCUAGGCCGCGGGUUCGAUUCCCGCCCGGGGCG